CGGUGGAGUCGGUCACGGUCAGCCUGGCGUUGAAGACGCCGUUGCUGGUGUACGUGAACGACGGGUUCGGAUCGGCCGAGUCGACCGU
rnacentral:tRNA from 1 species